UGGGGAAUAUUGCACAAUGGGCGCAAGCCUGAUGCAGCCAUGCCGCGUGUGUGAAGAAGGCCUUCGGGUUGUAAAGCACUUUCAGCGAGGAGGAAGGUGGUGAACUUAAUACGUUCAUCAAUUGACGUUACUCGCAGAAGAAGCACCGGCUAACUCCGUGCCAGCAGCCGCGGUAAUACGGAGGGUGCAAGCGUUAAUCGGAAUUACUGGGCGUAAAGCGCACGCAGGCGGUUUGUUAAGUCAGAUGUGAAAUCCCCGGGCUCAGCCUGGGAACUGCAUUUGAAACUGGCAAGCUAGAGUCUCGUAGAGGGGGGUAGAAUUCCAGGUGUAGCGGUGAAAUGCGUAGAGAUCUGGAGGAAUACCGGUGGCGAAGGCGGCCCCCUGGACGAAAGACUGACGCUCAGGUGCGAAAGCGUGGGGAGCAAAACAGGAUUAGAUACCCUGGUAGUCCACGCUGUAAAACGAUGUCGAUUUGGAGGUUGUGCCCUUGAGGCGUGGCUUCCGGAGCUAACGCGUUAAAUCGACCAGCCUGGGGAGUACGGGCCGCAAGGUUAAAAACUACAAAUGAAAUUGACGGGGUCAUAGCUGUUUCCUG
rnacentral:rRNA from 1 species